rnacentral:rRNA from 1 species
UACGGGGGGGGCAAGCGUUGUUCGGAAUUACUGGGCGUAAAGGGCUCGUAGGUGGCCAACUAAGUCAGACGUGAAAUCCCUCGGCUUAACCGGGGAACUGCGUCUGAUACUGGAUGGCUUGAGUUUGGGAGAGGGAUGCGGAAUUCCAGGUGUAGCGGUGAAAUGCGUAGAUAUCUGGAGGAAUACCGGUGGCGAAGGCGGCAUCCUGGACCGACAUUGACGCUGAACGGCGAAAGCUAGGGGAGCAAACGGG